AUUCAGGAUUUUCUUUUUGUGCUAACGAUUCCUCACUCCUAUUGGGGGCAGGAGGAGAAAGGGACGACAGAGGAUGAGAUGGCUGGAGGCAUCAUGACUCGAUGGACGUGAGUUUGAGUGAACUUCGGGAGUUGGUAAUGGACAGGGAGGCCUGGCAUGCUGCGAUUCAUAGGGUCACAAAGAGUCAGACACGACUGAGCGACUGAACUGAACUGAACAUAUCAUUCACUCUUUUACAUUUUGUUGAAUAGGAAGUAGAAUGGGUAGGAAGCAUAACUCACAGAUCAGAAUUCUGACUGUGCACAUGCGUGCUAAGUCGCUUCAGUUUUAUCCAACUCUUUGUGACCCCAUGGACUGUAGUCUGCCAAGCUCCUCUGUCCAUGGAAUUCUCCAGGCAAGAACACUGGAGUGGUUUGUCAUUCCCUUAUCCAGGGGCUCUUCCUGACCCAGGGAUCGAACCCAGGUCUCCUGCAUUGCAGGCAGAAUCUUUACUGUCUGAGCCACAAAGGAAGCCCAGUCAGAAUUUACAGCUGGAUUUCAUUCAGAGUGGUUGAAACCCAAGCAGUUUUUGUUAAUAUUUUAAUCGCUACUAGGACUAAAGAAAAUUCUAAAAUAAGUGUCUGACUGUUGUUAAACAAUAUACUGUACAGUCCAUUCAAAGGGCAGAUCUGGAUAUAUGUAUCCUUAAUCAUUGCUCUAUAGUACCAAGGGCUGACCUGCAAGGAAUUAUCAUCAUGCUGUCCUUCCUGUAAAAAAAGUGAUGCUAAUGACCAGCUGACAGUAGGGCCUAGGUAGUGACUUGUUUUUUCAAGGGUGCUGGGUUCUGCUACUCUCUCCUGACCUCUCAAUGAGAGCAAUGAAAGAAGAGGCCAAAGUGCAGAUACAGAAAGAAAAUGCAUUGCUCUGGCCUCAUUAACACCGAACUCAAACCAAGUGAGUCAAACGGCUUAGAGAAACAAUUCCCUUUUCAACUCCCAGGUGAAAAAGUGAAGAAAAUGAGCCAUAAAGAAAAUGAACGACCUCCUCUUGUAACCUUUCCAUUAGAGGAAUGGACAAUGAUUAGGUUUCUGCCUUCUGAAAGUUUCAGAAAGACUUUUCUAUAGUUAAAAUGCAAGUUAUUCAACAGCAAAGGAAACCAUAAAAAAAGACAAUAUACAGAAAAUAUUUUCAAGUGAUUCAACAGACAAGGGCUUAAUUUCCAAAAUAUAUAAAUGACUCAUACAACUCAGCAAUGAAAAAACAACAACCCAAUGGAAAAAGGGGAAGAAGACCUAAAUAGACAUUUCUUCAAAGAAGACAUACAGAUGGCCAAGAGACACAUGAAAAGAUGCUCAAUAUCACUAAUCAUUA
rnacentral:lncRNA from 1 species